UCUGGUUGAGUGGGGAAUGAGGA
rnacentral:siRNA from 1 species